GACGAACGCUGGCGGCGUGCCUAAUACAUGCAAGUCGAACGCUUCUUUCCUCCCGAGUGCUUGCACUCAAUUGGAAAGAGGAGUGGCGGACGGGUGAGUAACACGUGGGUAACCUACCCAUCAGAGGGGGAUAACACUUGGAAACAGGUGCUAAUACCGCAUAACAGUUUAUGCCGCAUGGCAUAAGAGUGAAAGGCGCUUUCGGGUGUCGCUGAUGGAUGGACCCGCGGUGCAUUAGCUAGUUGGUGAGGUAACGGCUCACCAAGGCCACGAUGCAUAGCCGACCUGAGAGGUGAUCGGCCACACUGGGACUGAGACACGGCCCAGACUCCUACGGGAGGCAGCAGUAGGGAAUCUUCGGCAAUGGACGAAAGUCUGACCGAGCAACGCCGCGUGAGUGAAGAAGGUUUUCGGAUCGUAAAACUCUGUUGUUAGAGAAGAACAAGGACGUUAGUAACUGAACGUCCCCUGACGGUAUCUAACCAGAAAGCCACGGCUAACUACGUG
rnacentral:rRNA from 1 species